ensembl:snRNA U4 U4 spliceosomal RNA
AGCUUUGUGCAUUGGCAGUAUCGUAGCCAAUGAGGUUUAUUCGAGGCACGAUUAUUGCUAAUUGAAAACUUUUCCCAACUCCCCGCCGUGACGACUUGCAAUAUAGUUUUUGACAGUCUGUACGGAGA